AGGGUUUCCUUGUUAGAAGAUACAAAGCCAAAGACUCAUACGGACCUGGCUACAACAUCAAAGCUUUGAGAAGUAAGAAGAAGCUUGGUUAGUAAUUUGGAGUCGAAUAUGACUUUAUGUCAUGUGUAUGAUUGAGUACAAGAACUUAAAGAGCAACCGGAUCUUAAAACCCUAAGUAGUGUUUCCUUGUUAGAAGAUACAAAUCCAAAGACUCAUACAGACUUCGGUUUCACCAUCAAACUUUGAGAAGCAAGAAGAAGCUAGGUUAACCUUUUGGAGUCGAAUAUGACUUGAUGUCAUGUGUAUGACUGAGUACAAAAACAAGAACCGCAACGGAUCUUAAAAGCCUAAGUAUUGUAUCCUUGUUAGAAGAUACAAAGACAUAGACUCAUACCGAGUUUGGCUAAACCAUCAAAGCUUUUAGAAGCAAGAAGAAGCUUGGUUAGUGUUUUGGAGUGAAAUAUGACUAGAUGUCAUGUGUUUU
rnacentral:sRNA from 1 species